CACGCGAAGUAGUAGCAGUAGUGGCAGCGCAGGUGGGGGCACAGAACAAACUCCCUUUGUGCUCAGCGGUCUAGAGGGCCAUGCGUGGCCUCGAGGGAAGAAGGUACCGGACUGGGCUGGUGCUGGCUCUUGGCGUAAUUGGAGCGCGCGAGAUGGAGAAAUGGAGAAACGAAGAACGUGGUCCUAGACGUGGAAGGGGCUGGGCUUAGCGCGCCUCUACCUGCGGCCGCCGUCGCCGUCGCCGCGGCUGGACUCCUCGUCGUAGUUCUUCACCUUCUAGUAGAUGGGCCACAUGGAGUUGAGGUUCUUCUGCCAGCGGCUCCCGGCGGCGUAGCGGCGGCGGUUCCGGACGGGGCUGGGGUGGACGUAGCUCUAGCGGCUGUCGACGCGGAUGGAGUUCUAGGGAGCGCGGUAGCUCAACCUAUUCCGCAUAGGCGCCCUAAAGAAGGUCCACCCCUCUCACUCCCACGUCGAGUGGUUACUACUGCCGAGGGGUCAGUUGGGACGUUAGUCUUGUUUCUUCGUCGAUUACUAGGUUUAUCGUCUCGACCAGGGGUUCGUAGUACCCUCCUGAUUCUUCGUCCUUGGUCACCGUCCAGGUAGUCAAUGUUGAUGAUUGUUCUUUUUAUUCUUCUUCUUCAUCGUAAGACACAACAAAAAAGACAAGUAUCUUUCAAAAGAUCUUUUAAGUAGUCUCCCUCAAGAACCAACAGACAGACGAUACUCCGGACUUUUUGACACUUAAAAGACUUAAAAGAAUAAAAUAUACCACUGAAGACGUUGGCAAAACGAACAACGGAACUUUCCGGUUUUCACCCCUGAUGAAUGACAACAAACGUCGUAACCCUCACACUCAAACGUCUACUAUAGUCAAACCAUGAACGUUUAGGUUUCCUCUAUAUGAGGUGAAAUCUUUGAUCAUACUUACCUACCUCAAGUGGACUUUUCUAUACCUACACCGGACCGGGAUCAUGUUCACACACAAAACAGCGGCCUUCGUUC
rnacentral:rRNA from 1 species